UACGUAGGGUGCGAGCGUUAAUCGGAAUUACUGGGCGUAAAGCGUGCGCAGGCGGUUUCACAAGCUCGAUGUGAAAGCCCCGGGCUUAACCUGGGAAUGGCAUUGAGGACUGUGGAGCUUGAGUGCGGCAGAGGGAGGUGGAAUUCCACGUGUAGCAGUGAAAUGCGUAGAGAUGUGGAGGAACACCGAUGGCGAAGGCAGCCCCCUGGGCCGACACUGACGCUCAUGCACGAAAGCGUGGGGAGCAAACAGG
rnacentral:rRNA from 1 species